rnacentral:lncRNA from 1 species
AUUUUCUUUGUCCUCAAGCCCUUUCUUCUACUUGUCUUCACUGGUAUUAGAUAUUUUUUUGAGUGUUAUUAUCGUAGAGCUUGUUAAAAUAAAGAGUGCAAUGGCACAAAUGCAAGAGCAAUUAACGGAGUUGAUACUUACGAUACAUCAGCUUAGGUUACCACCACAAGGAUGAAUAAGAAUGGAAGGAAGUGAGGAUAUAGAGAUCAUUAAAGUUGUAUCGUAAUACGUGAAGUCUUGCUUGAGAAUGCUCUGGGCACCUGACUGUGGAAGGUAGAAUGAAAAUUGCAACAACAAAAUCUUAAUUCUAAUAGAAUACUAAUAAUACUCUAAUUAGACAAUAAUAAUGCUAAGCAAGCUUUAAUCAAAUUUAAAGAAAUCUCAAAGAAAUUUCAAAAAAAUAAUAAGAAAUCUUAAAGAAAUAUUAGAAUGAUCACAAAUAUAUCUCAAAUACAUCUCAAUUCAAUCAUAAUUUAAUCAUAAUUAAAAUCCUAUUGGACUUUAAUCAAACUUUAGGCAAAAAUUAAUUAAAUCUUAAAUCCUAAAUAAAUCCUAAUAAAAUCCUAAAUCAAAACCUAAACAAGCCUUAAACCAAAUCCCAAUCAAAUCCUAAACCAAAUCCUAACCAAUCCCUAAACCAAACCCUUACCAAAUCCUAAACUAAAUCCUAAAUCCUAAAUCAAAUCCUAAACAAAUCCUAAAUCAAAUCCUAAUCAAAUCCUAAACCUAAACCAAAUCCUAACCAAACCUUGAACUCUAAACCAAAUCUAAACCAAAUCCUAAACCCUAAAUGAAAUCCUAACCAAACUCUAAACCAAACCUAAACAAAUCCUAAACCAAACUCUAACCAAAUCUUGAACCUUAAACCAAAUUUCAACCAAACCUUAAACCAAAUCCUAACCAAAUCCUAAUCCAAAUCCUAAACCCUAAAUCAAAUCCUAACUAAAUUCUAACCCUAAAUCAAAUCCUAAUCAAACUCUAAAUCAAAUCCUAAACCCUAAAUCAAAUCCAAACUCUAAAUCAAAUCCUAAAUCCUAAAUCAAAUCCAAACUCUAAAUCCUAAAUCAAACCCUAACCAAAUCCUAAUCCUAAAUCAAAUCCUAACCAAACUCUAAAUCCUAAACUAAUCGUUAACCAAAU